UGAAUCAUCACAGAUCAUCAAGGCUACAUUUGUUUCACUGUGUACCUGCCUGAGGUUGUGGUUGGAUUAAUUGUAUUUUGAUUCAUUCUUAUUAUUGGAAAUGCAUAUGAAUAACACUGAGGAAAUGACAUCGACUACAAAACCCAGGAAAGAAAGUAAGACCAAGAUCAGCCGUAAAACAGAUAUCAUCUACUGAACUUAUUCACCAUCAGAAGCACCUCCACUGAAAAGCGGAACUGGUUUCCAAUCAAGAGACUUUCUAACAUUGCAUAAUGUGGAUUUUCAUCUCUCUAUUACUUAAUGGUUAAAAUGAACAUUUAUGAGCAAAUUUUGUAAUAAUCACUCAUUUGGUUGUUAUUUGAAUUUGCUGUUGCAUGUGAAGUAGGCUAUUGAUUAACUUUUUUCCAUAGAACAAUUAGAUGAGCUUUGCCAGCCUCCACCUUUUGAACUUUGGAAAAUGUUUUUUUUUAUGUACAUAUGUAGUUGUUUAAUGUGUAUGAAUGUGUUCUGCAUGACCAAAGACAAAACAAAUGUUUUCUUUGGAGUGAGAUAGGUCAAGCUAAUCCAAUAUGAACCAAAGCAGGACAAACACACUCACACACACACACACACACACACACGCACUCAAUAUUUGCAGUUAAUGAUUGAGAGACUUUCUGCUGUCAUUCUGUUUUUUUUUCUGUUUUUUUCUUGUUCUUCUUGUAAUAAUCAUUAAUGUCAUUGAAUUUGCUGUUGCAUGUGAAGUAGGCUAUUGAUGAACUUUUAUACAUGGUACUGUUGGAUGAGCAUUUCCAGCGUGCACCUUUUUAAUAUAGCUUUCACUGUGGAAAAGUUCAAAAAUACUUUCAAUACUUUAAAUUCAUGAUUGAUAGAAUUUCUGCUGUCAUUUAUUGAGCUUUCAGUCGUUUGAUUGACUGACUCUGUAUUCUUUUUGUAUGUACAUAUAUAGUUGUGUAUGGUUCUUCAAAGUGUUUGAAUGUGUUCUGCAUGACCAAAGACUAGAAGAAUGUUUGCCUUUGUGAUAUGAGU
rnacentral:lncRNA from 1 species